rnacentral:miRNA from 8 species
CAACCUAAUGCACUUUGUGAUGUG